AUGCACCACGCCAUUUCGCCAUUGCCGCGCCAUCACCCAUCAGUAGGGAGCGCGGGAGUGUGGCGCCCAUGGGAACCCGUCGCCGCCGCCGCCGCCGAGAUGCCCAUUGUUUGGUGGCAUGUUGAACAUCGGCAUCGCCGACGGGUCGGGCAUCCCGUGCCCGUGCCCGUGGACGUGGACGCCGCCGGCCAUGAGCGGGUCGUGCGCCAUCGGCGGGCCCGAGCCCUCGUCCUCGUCCUCCAGCGGCAGGCGCUCGUAGGUGGCGUUGGCGAACGUGGACGCGAUCACCAUGACGGGGCCCGCGGCGACGAGCGAGCCCACCACGCUGCCGCCGACCACCUGCCCCUGCCCGCCGGCCAGGUACACGGUGAGCCCCGUGGACCCCGGCGGCGCGGGCCCCGGGAGGAAGGUCCCCGUGAGCGAGAGGAUCUCGAAGCGGCCAUGGAGGGCCACCACGGCUCCGCCGGGGGCCGACGGCUGGCGCAGCGCGACGUUGGCCACGGUCCCGGCGCCGCUGAGCACGCACACGCCGCGCUGCCGGCGGCGCGAGAACUGCGCGAUGGCGUCGCACACGUCGGCGCCGCCGGCCACCUCCAUCACGUGGCUGCGCAGCGCGUUGGGGCUGUCGCGCGUCACGAAGAUGGGCGGCUUCGGCUUGUUCUUGGAACCCGGCGGCCGGCCCCGGGGCCGCCGGUUCGGGGCGGGCACCACCGCGCCCAGAUCGCGCGGCUCACCGCCACCGACAGUCUCUUUGUUCUCGUCCGCGUGCUCGCCGCCACCGGAAGUCGGGCUGGUCUCAGGGUCUUUGACGACGAGGGCGAGCGACUCGACCUUGGGGCCCGACGAGCCGGACGGCUGCUCCGGCGCCACGCCCGGCAGCCCCAAAUGGCCGUCCCACCACCGGUUCGCCAUGAAGUCUUCGGUCACCACCUUGAAGAUGAAUCUAGCUAG
rnacentral:rRNA from 1 species